UCCCUGAUGGUCUAGUGGUCAGGAUUUGGCGUUCUCACCGCCACCGGCCUGGGUUCGAUUCCCAGUCAGGGAA